rnacentral:rRNA from 1 species
UACAGAGGUCUCAAGCGUUAUCCGGAUUCACUGGGUUUAAAGGGUGCGUAGGCGGCCAUGUAAGUAGGGUGUGAAAUCCCCCGGCUUAACCGGGGAACUGCGCCCUAAACUGUAUGGCUGGAGUGAGAUAGGGGUGUGUGGAACUUCCGGUGGAGCGGUGAAAUGUGUUGAUAUCGGAAGGAACGCCGGUGGCGAAAGCGACACACUGGGUCUCAACUGACGCUGAGGCACGAAAGCCAGGGGAGCGAACGGG